UAUUUUAUAUAUUAUAUCUAAUUAAAUAUAUAUACAUUUAUAAAAUAUAUUUAUGUUUUCAUAUAUUAAAU